rnacentral:ncRNA from 1 species
AAUCGAAUGAGACCUUGGAGGACUGAAGUGGAGAAGGGUUUCGUGUGAACAGUGGUUGAUCACGAGUUAGUCGGUCCUAAGUUCAAGGCGAAAGCCGAAAAUUUUCAAGUUUUAAAAAUGUCAAAUGAAAUAAUAAAUAAUAAAACACUUGAAUAAUUUUGAACGAAAGGGAAUACGGUUCCAAUUCCGUAACCUGUUGAGUAUCCGUUUGUUAUUAAAUAUGGGCCUCGUGCUCAUCCUGGCAACAGGAACGACCAUAAAGAAGCCGUCGAGAGGUAUCGGAAGAGUUUUCUUUUCUGUUUUAUAGCCGUACUACCAUGGAAGUCUUUCGCAGAGAGAUAUGGUAGAUGGGCUAGAAGAGCAUGACAUAUACUGUUGUGUCGAUAUUUUCUCCUCGGACCUUGAAAAUUUAUGGUGGGGAUACGCAAACUUCUCAACAGGCCGUACCAAUAUCCGCAGCUGGUCUCCAAGGUGAAGAGUCUCUAGUCGAUAGAAUAAUGUAGGUAAGGGAAGUCGGCAAAUUAGAUCCGUAACUUCGGGAUAAGGAUUGGCUCUGAAGAUUGAGAUAGUCGGGCUUGAUUGGGAAACAAUAACAUGGUUUAUGUGCUCGUUCUGGGUAAAUAGAGUUUCUAUCAUUUAUGAUAGUUAUUUGUUCCCCGGAUAGUUAGUUACGUAGCCAAUUGUGGAACUUUCUUGCUAAAAUUUUUAAGAAUACUAAUUUUUAAUUAGUUCUUUUAAAUUAUAACGAUUAUCAAUUAACAAUCAAUUCAGAACUGGCACGGACUUGGGGAAUCCGACUGUCUAAUUAAAACAAAGCAUUGUGAUGGCCCUAGCGGGUGUUGACACAAUGUGAUUUCUGCCCAGUGCUCUGAAUGUCAAAGUGAAGAAAGGAGGUGGAGCUCGAAGCAAGUGGUAAUUUGAGAUUUCCUAAUAAGAAGCUAGCGGAAGUAUUUACUCACCGUAGCUCCGAAGCAAUUAAAUGUUUUCGGAAGAGGGGUGAAUAUAAGGCAAAACUGGAGCAGAUCAGAGGGCAAUCUACUCCCACCCCAGAAGCGUUGGACUCUAUUACCUCACAGCCUCGCCCUAGUUUACUCGAGCGAAACCACCAAGUAUCAUCGUCGGAAGCGCAACCAAUCAAUCCAUCAGAAGAACAGUCGAACUGGGAAAUCAUGCGGAUACUACAGGGCUAUCGCCCCGUAGAAUGUAGUCCCCGGUGGAGAGCCCAGGUCUUGCAAACUAUCGUAAAUAGGGCGCAGGCCGUAGGGAAGGAAACCACUCUCCAAUGCUUAUCCAACUAUCUCCUGGAAGUAUUUCCAUUACCAAACGAACCACACACCAUCGGUCGGAGCAAUUUGCGAAGACCUCGAACUAGGAGACAGUUAAGACAACAAGAGUACGCACAGGUUCAGCGUCGUUGGGAUAAGAAUACUGGGAGAUGCAUUAAAUCCUUGCUUGAUGGAACAGAUGAGUCGGUUAUGCCAAACCAAGAGAUAAUGGAACCCUAUUGGAAACAAGUAAUGACGAAUCCCAGCACAUGCUCUUGCGAUAACACAAGAUUCCGUAUGGAACAUUCGCUUGAGACGGUUUGGUCAGCGAUAACGCCACGCGACCUGAGGGAAAAUAAGUUAAAGUUGUCAAGUGCUCCGGGUCCUGACGGUAUCACUCCAAGAACAGCCAGGAGUGUACCCUUAGCAUUAUGCUACGCAUAAUGAACCUGAUUCUCUGGUGCGGCAAAAUACCAUUCUCUACCCGACUGGCCAGAACUAUCUUCAUUCCGAAGACUGUGACGCAAAUCGACCGCAAGACUUUCGUCCAAUAACAGUCCCCUCGGUUU